GGAGCGGCGCGGAGCCCGCAUGGCCCUGCCGCCGGCCGCCCCUGCGGGCUGCGCGGCCGCUCCGCUGUAGCAACCCCUUCGGGAAGGCGCCGGCCCGGCGGCGGGGCUGGCCGCGGCCGCGCUCCUCUCCACCCCGGCCCCGUCCGUCUGUCCGGCCGCCAGUCCCUCCGUCCGUCCAGCGGCAGCGCCCAGGAUUACGCAGCUGGGCGCGGAGCGGCAGCGCUUGGCGAGGAUCAACCUGGCGCAGGCUCUUGAACCUGAUCUACAAUGGAAAAACUGCUUUUGUUUCUGCUGUUCAUUGGCAUAGCGGUGAGAGCUCAGAUCUGCCCAAAGCGCUGUGUCUGUCAGAUUUUGUCUCCGAACCUUGCCACCCUUUGUGCCAAGAAAGGGCUCUUAUUUGUUCCUCCCAAUAUUGACAGGAGGACCGUGGAGUUACGGCUGGCAGACAACUUUGUUACAAACAUUAAAAGGAAGGACUUUGCCAAUAUGACCAGCCUGGUGGACCUGACGCUGUCCAGGAAUACAAUCAGUUUUAUUACACCUCACGCAUUUGCUGACUUGCGUAAUUUGCGGGCUUUGCAUCUGAACAGCAACCGAUUGACUAAGAUCACAAAUGACAUGUUCAGUGGACUCUCCAAUCUUCACCACUUGAUACUUAACAACAACCAGCUGACUUUAAUUUCUUCUACAGCUUUUGAUGAUGUUUUAGCUCUUGAGGAAUUGGAUUUGUCUUACAACAACCUGGAAACCAUCCCCUGGGAUGCCGUGGAGAAGAUGGUUAGUUUGCACACUCUCAGUCUAGACCAUAACAUGAUUGACCAUAUUCCCAAGGGGACCUUCUCCCACCUGCACAAGAUGACCCGGUUGGAUGUCACGUCUAACAAACUGCAGAAGCUACCACCUGAUCCUCUCUUCCAGCGAGCUCAAGUACUAGCAACCUCAGGAAUUAUCAGCCCCUCGACUUUUGCAUUGAGCUUUGGUGGGAACCCUUUGCAUUGCAACUGUGAGCUUUUGUGGUUGAGGCGUCUUUCAAGGGAGGAUGACCUGGAGACUUGUGCUUCUCCCACGCUCUUGUCUGGCCGGUACUUCUGGUCAAUCCCUGAGGAGGAGUUCCUGUGUGAGCCUCCUCUCAUCACCCGGCACACCCAUGAGCUGCGGGUGCUGGAGGGCCAGCGGGCAGCAUUGCGGUGUAAGGCCCGGGGGGACCCUGAGCCAGCAAUUCAUUGGAUUUCACCUGAGGGCAAACUGAUUUCAAAUGCAACGAGGUCUGUAGUGUAUGACAACGGGACACUUGACAUCCUGAUAACAACGGUGAAGGAUACAGGCUCCUUCACCUGCAUUGCUUCCAAUCCAGCUGGGGAGGCCACGCAGACAGUGGACCUGCACAUAAUCAAACUCCCCCACUUGCUGAACAGCACGAACCACAUCCACGAGCCUGACCCUGGCUCCUCGGAUAUCUCUACUUCCACCAAGUCAGGCUCCAACGCGAGCAGUAGCAAUGGGGAUACUAAAGUCAGCCAAGAUAAGAAGGUGGUCGUUGCGGAAGCAACAUCUUCUACUGCUCUGCUGAAAUUCAAUUUUCAGAGGAAUAUACCUGGGAUACGUAUGUUCCAAAUCCAGUACAAUGGUACUUAUGAUGACUCCCUUGUUUACAGAAUGAUACCUCCCACAAGCAAAACCUUCCUGGUCAACAACCUGGCUGCUGGGACUGUGUAUGACCUCUGCGUUCUGGCGAUCUACGACGACGGGAUCACCUCGCUCACCGCCACCAGGGUGGUGGGCUGCACGCAGUUCACCACUGAGCAGGAUUAUGUGCGCUGCCACUUCAUGCAGUCCCAGUUCCUGGGUGGGACCAUGAUUAUCAUCAUUGGUGGGAUCAUUGUGGCCUCUGUGCUUGUGUUCAUCAUCAUCCUCAUGAUCCGCUACAAGGUGUGUAACAACAACGGGCAGCAGAAGGCCACCAAGGUCAGCAACGUAUACUCACAGACGAACGGGGCUCAGAUCCAGGGCUGCAGUGGGGUGCUGUCGCAGUCGAUGUCCAAGCAGGCUGUUGGGCAUGAAGAGGGCAUCCAGUGCUGCAAGGCUGCUAGCGAUGGCGUGACGCAGUCGCCAGAGACUGGCUCCAGCCAGGACUCGGCCACUACUACCUCCACUUUGCCUCCCACCUGGACUUCUAGCACUUCUGUCUCCCAGAAGCAGAAGCGAAAGUCGGGGCCAAAGCCAAGCAGCGAGUCGCAGAGUGAAGCUGUCAGCAGUAUCGAGUCCCAAAACAGUAACAGAAAUAACUCCACUGCCCUGCAGUUAGCUAGCCGUCCCCCUGACUCUGUCAAAGGGGCCCCCACGUACAAAAGAGCACAAUCAAAGCCAAGUAAGUUCCUCACUUUGCCAGCUGACGCAUCCCGAGCCAAGCGCAGGCUCUCCCUGGGCGGCGAGCUGAUGGAGUCCCGCUGCCCCAGCAGCACCUGGGGCGCAGGCGGACUGCGGUCCAAAAGGAGCAUGUCCAUGAAUGGGAUGCUAGUUCAGUCGGACAGCUCUGAUGUGAAUAGUGGAAAAGCAACUUUCUCCAGUUCUGAGUGGAUAUUGGAAAGCACUGUGUGACCUGCCUUUUUUUUUUAUUAUUAUUUUUCUUUUUUUAUUUUAGUUUUUAUUUCAAUGAAAAAAUGCCAAACGUGUGAAUCUCCAUCUUCCAGGGAAUUGGAUUUGGAAGUCCACUGCUGUCUCGCUGAUUAAUGGCUUGUUCAUGCAGGGUUCUGUAUAAGCCACCCAGUGCACAUGGGGUUUUAUUUAGUUUUCAUUUGGUUUUAUUUAAUAUCAAAACCGAAGGCAACAUUUAGAGGUUAAAAGUAUAAAAAUAAAAAAAAAAAAAAGGAAAAAAAAAGAUUAAGGGGUGAAAAAGAAGCAUGAAACAGCACCAGUGCCUUCCCUACUCUAGGACUGGCUUCCUGGUUCUGCAGUAGCAGAAAACAAAAGAGAGAGUUUUCACAGAAAAAGCCUUUUAUAAAGGAAAUGAAAUUUCCUCCAAGCUAACAAAUAACCACUUCUGGAUCAAUCAGUAAAAUGAUAUUUUUUAAAACGGUCAGACUGUAUAUUUCUUUUCCGUGACAAUGGUGUUGCCUUUGUUUUUAGGCAGAUGCUGUACAAGAACAGCAACGCUGUGUUGUUAUGUUGUGUAAAAUAAACUAUUCACUCCGUACACCAGCCAGCCUCACGGUAACUGCCACCUCAGAGCUGUGCUGGGGCCUGCGGGUUGCUGCUCAGUGGGUCCCACUGUGGGGCCAGGAGGAGCAGGAGGAGGGUGCCGGGGUCCCUCUCCUCCUGCUGGGGUCUGGCUUGCUGGGGUUGGGUGCUGGUGGAGCAGCAGGACUCUGCCACUGGACCUCACCAAGAGAGUGCCUGACAUGUAGACCACCCUCAUCCUGUGGUGCUGGGUCUGGCAGUGGUGACCAGCCACUCACUGCGCACCCUUCUCAGCCCCAUCCGAGAGCCUGGUCCUGCUGCCACAAUGGCUUUGCCUAGUGCCAAUGCUGGAAAAACACAUUGUGUUCAGCAGCAGGGAUGCUGUGCCCAACUCAUGCGGGACUUGGUUUGCUGCUCCGUUUUCAGACCUGAUUCCUGCUCUGGCAGUCAGUGCAGUGAAGGUUGUUCCUUCCCAUCAGCACAGGGGCAUGAGGCGUGAAACGCUGGAAAUGGGAGCCUGCGGGAAGUGUGGGAGCAGCCCUGCGGCAUGGGCACUGCAGCAGUCCCGCAGGACUCCUCUGGGACAGGAGAUGUGAUGGGGGGCACCAGGCAGAGUGCUGGCAUCUUGGGGUGUGGGACAGGAAGCCAAGCAGGGGCAGCGAGUAGGGCUGGUGGGUCAUCCCAGAGCUGCAGGGCAGGGCUGCAGCAGACGGGCUCGUAGCCAUUCAGUGCCUCACAGUGGUGAUUGAUGAGGAUGAUAAUGGUUAUUUCUGUCUUUCCUGGACUUUUGGGGCAUAUUUCUUGUAAACUCUAUGGUUUAUUCCAGUUCUGUUUAAUCCCCAUGCAUAAUGGGACUGGAAGAUGGUCUCAUCUUCAACCUGCUGAUUGCAGUGCCUGUGGGAUAGACAUAACAUCUGGCAAUAGGUGAUAGCAAUUGAAAACCCCCAUGUGUGAGGGGUUCUGCUGCUCUGCUUGUUCUAAAGAAAAGUCUACCAUUCAUAUUAAUUAAACUCAUGUGGUCAUCAUGUUUAAAUUAGAGACAGCUUAACUCUGCAACAUAGUGCAUUCUCAAAUGCCAAAUAACAGGUUUGACUGGGGCAUUGUGGCCAUUAAAAUGUUAGAAUAGUUACAUUUUACACCCUGCGUGCUUGCGCUUGAGGGCAAUGUAACCCAAGCAGAUGCCUGGAGAUGCCCUGGUUCUAACCAGGGCAGAGGGCCAGCUCGAGAGCAGUUGUGGAUGGGGAUGUCUUGUGUCUGGGGACAUCUGGCAGGCCCCUGGUCUCUGAGGCCCUGAAGCUCAGGGCUGAUGCGCAGGAAAGGUGACCCUUCUUCCUCUCAGCCAUCGUGGGUUGCUCUCUGUGAUUUUACUGCCUGGUGUGGAAAAACGAAGUCUGGGUGGGAGUGGUGCAAAGGACAUAAACAGAAGAGGCUGUUUCUUUUUUAGAGAGCCCUUUUAACUUCCCUUGGGAAAUGCGGAGACAAAAAAAGAAAUGAAGCCUCAAAAUUAGAAUGCCCCCUUCUUACUGCAAAAGUAACAAAAAAACCUCAGCCACCCCAAAAAAAUCCCUCCCUAGAUUUCUCUGGAAGACUACAUUCUUCUCAAGAGGCUGUGUGCACAGAAGCUAGCUAUUAAAAUAGUACACUGUCAGAGGCAGUGAGUAUUUGUCCAACCUCCAGUAGUCUGAUGCCAAAGGCACUGUCAAACAUGGUAAAAGCAAGUGCUCUCAUGGCCCAGUGAGAAGCUGCUCUCUGCAGACAGCACCAGUACUUGGGUAUGGAGAUAGCUUCAAAGGUUUUCUGCUGAGAAGCCGGGGCUGAUCCGCAGGAUGCCUGCCCUCCUCUGCUCCCUGAAAACGUUGCAACCGAUGUUCUUACUCGGCAGAAAACAAUACGAUUCCAACUCACUGAAGAUUAAUGUGCUGCACCACACUCACCCUACCGAAACCUUUACUUGAAGCUGCAGCCAAAGCCAAGAGGCCGUCGAGGUUGGCUGCGUCCGAUAAACUGUCUUCCCCCUUUCACAGAUUGCCCAUCUCCAUCUGCCACAUUAAGUCUAAAUACCUUUUUUUCUGGUGUCCAAGGUUUUUAUAAAACUUAAAAAUUACAAUGAAAAAUCUGGUGGCAACAGCUGCAGUCCCGAGUCAUGUUAAAUGUCUCCAAUGGUGAGUUCACAAACUGUAAACAUGGUAGCUUAUAUCACCUGAACAAAUAAAUGUUUUACUAUGA